rnacentral:rRNA from 1 species
GGAUUAGAUACCCUGGUAGUCCACGCUGUAAACGAUGGAUACUAGCUGUUGGAUUUUCGGAUUCAGUGGCCAAGCGAAAGUGAUAAGUAUCCCACCUGGGGAGUACGUUCGCAAGAAUGAAACUCAAAGGAAUUGACGGGGGCCCGCACAAGCGGUGGAGCAUGUGGUUUAAUUCGAUGAUACGCGAGGAACCUUACCAGGGCUUAAAUGCAUUUGGACCGGGGUGGAAACACCCUUUUCUUCGGACUAUUUGCAAGGUGCUGCAUGGUUGUCGUCAGCUCGUGCCG